CGCCCCUAGGCUCGCCGGCCCCGCCUUCCCGCUCUCUCGGCCGAAGUGCUCGGGUGUCGCUGCUCCCCUCCUCCGCCCCGCGUCCUGACUCUUUUCCCUCCUUUCCCUCAGAGGAUGUCCACCUUCCAGAUCAACCUCAACCCGCUCAAGGAGCCGCUCGGCUUCAUCAAGAUCCUCGAGUGGUUUGCCUCUAUCUUUGCUUUUGCCACCUGUGGUGGGUUUAAGGGCAAAACAGAAAUUCAAGUGAAUUGUCUUUCUGCACCUGGUGAAAAUAAGACGGUUACAGCUACUUUUGGUUAUCCAUUCAGGUUGAAUCAGGCAUCAUUUCAUUCAGCUCCAAAUGUCAAUGUGUGUAAGGUGAAUUGGGAAAAGCAUGUCCUCAUAGGCGAUUACUCCUCUUCCGCACAGUUCUAUGUUACCUUUGCAGUCUUGGUGUUCCUGUACUGCAUUGCUGCCCUUCUCCUCUAUGUUGGUUACACCAACCUCUACCGGGAGAGUCGCAAACUGCCCAUGAUCAAUGUUAAUGGACUUUAUUGUUACUCUUGUUGCUACUUUUUUGUGGUUGGUGAGUUCCUCGGCCUGGGCUAAAGCUCUUACAGAUAUUAAGGUAGCUACUGGACACAGAAUUGUUGAAGAACUUGAUCCUUGUAAGUCAGAAGUGUCAUGCUACUUUGUCUCUGUGACUAGUAUGGGGUCCCUGAAUGUAUCCGUGAUCUUUGGCUUUCUGAAUAUGAUACUUUGGGGAGGAAAUGCUUGGUUUGUGUACAAGGAGACCAGCUUACAUAGUCCAUCAAAUACGUCAGCUUCUCAUGGCCAAGGAGGUGUCCCACCCACUUCUGGAAUGUAAUUAAAGGGAGAAAUACACUGUAUGAAAUGUGUGCUAUACUAUGCCUUGUUGCCAACAUCUUGAGAAGCAUUAUUGUUUCUAAUAAAAAGUAAUGGCUUUUUCAGUAAAUUGGUGGGUUUAAAAAUUUGCUGCUUUUCUACAUAAAACGUGCCUUUUCUAGAAAUUUAAGAUGUAAAUGUAUUUUUACAUGUAAGUUUGAAAAUUCAGGAGCCUGUUAUGAGAUGAUGUUACUUUUAACUGAACAAUAAUUUAACUAAGUUGCUUCUAAAGUGUUUACACCUUAAACUUAACAUAAACCUUCACUCAGAGAACAGUUAUGUCGUAUCAUAAUAUAGGAAGAAUGUUUGGAAUAUACACUACUGGUAGUUUGUACACAUCAUAUCCUUAAGGCUUGGCUUGUUUAAGAAAACCUAUUUGCAUAAAUCAUAUUUAGAAAAAAUUAGUGCAAUUUUAUAUUUGAAUAUUGUUCAUGUUAAAAAAAUUUGAAUUGCAAAGACCGGGUAUAUAUUUUGUUUCUGUUUUUCUAAAUGACCUGCUGUACUUAUUAGGUGUACUAAAAUUGUCUUAGAAGCAAGAGUUUGAAAAUUGUAACAUGUAUAGAGUUAGCUUUGCAUUUGGGUUGCAUGGGGUCUACUCAUUAUUUCUGGUGGUUUCUUAGGCUUGUGAAGAGCAUGGUUCCCAAGAUGGUUUUCUAUGUGUCCACACUCUCAAUGAUGCUUGCUUACCAUCCUUUGUUCAUACCAAGAGAGGAAAACCUACUGUUUUCCAGACCCUGUUUAGAGGGUUACUAAAAAUUAAGGUUGCCUUUUACUCUUGAAACAUUUAACAUUUAGUCAAUGAAGUUGCUUCUCCUAAGUUUAACAUUGAUAUUGUGAAAAUAAAUGCAGUUCAGAUUUCUUAUUUCUUAAGAUUCAUUCUUCACCAAAGGAUGAUUAAGGAAUUAUGCUCAUAAAAAACAAGUAAACUGUAUUGUGUGUGUGCUGUCUUUACAUACACAUUUGUGUGUGUUCAGAAUACAGUGCUUUUUGUUCCUGGCUUUUUUUGUUGUACAUGGAUUCAGACUUCCUAUUCUUCCAGGAUGAUGUUUGUAUGUAAAGCACAUCUUAUGGUAUUGCCUUAUUUUUGUUGCUUUAUUCAUGGCAAAGUGUCAGUUUGAGAAUGUAUGUUUAAUAAGCAAACAAUAAAAAAGUUAAAAUAAAGAAUGCCCCGUUGUUA